UAGGGAAUCUUCCGCAAUGGACGAAAGUCUGACGGAGCAACGCCGCGUGAGUGAAGAAGGAUUUCGGUUCGUAAAACUCUGUUGUUAGGGAAGAAAAAAUGUAUAGUAACUAUAUACAAAAGAGACGGUACCUAACCAGAAAGCCACGGCUAACUACGUGCCAGCAGCCGCGGUAAUACGUAGGUGGCAAGCUAUGUCCGGAAUUAUUGGGCGUAAAGCGCGCGCAGGCGGUUAGAAAAGUCUGAAGUGAAAGGCAGUGGCUCAACCAUUGUAAGCUUUUGAAUCUGUUUAUCAUGAGUGCAGAAGGCGAGAGUGGAGUUCCAUGUGUGGCGAUGAAAUGCGUGUAUAUAUGGAGGAACACCUGGGGCGAGAGCGGCUCUCUGGUCUGUAACUGACGCUGAGGAUCGAAAGCGUGGGGAGCGAACAGG
rnacentral:rRNA from 1 species